CGUAGGGGGCAAGCGUUGUCCGGAAUUACUGGGCGUAAAGGGCGUGUAGGUGGGUAAUUAAGUCAUGGGUGAAAACUGCGAGCUCAACUUGCAGACUGCCUAUGAAACUGGUCAUCUUGAGGGCAGGAGAGGAAAGUGGAAUUCCUAGUGUAGCGGUGAAAUGCGUAGAUAUUAGGAGGAACACCAGUGGCGAAGGCGACUUUCUGGACUGUCCCUGACACUGAGGCGCGAAAGCUAGGGGAGCGAACGGGAUUAGAUACCCCGGUAGUCCUAGCCGUAAACGAUGGGUCCUAGGUGUGGGAGGUAUCGACCCCUUCCGUGCCGGAGUUAACACAUUAAGUACCCCGCCUGGGGAGUACGGCCGCAAGGUUG
rnacentral:rRNA from 1 species